AAAAGAAAAUAAAAGACUAUUUCAAUUCCUAUAUAACUCUUAUGUAUCAGAAUAUGAAUUUUUUGUUGUUGUUUCUUCGUAAACAAUCUUCUUGCUUACCAUUAGCAUCUUCUGGAACUUUUCUGGAAUGAAUCCACUUUUAUAGGAAGAUGGAACAUUUUGGGAUAAUGUACCCUGGUUUUUCUCGGAAAACCCUAUGGUUCUUUAUGGAUCCUCUUAUGCAUUAUGUUCGAUAUCAAGGAAAGGCAAUUCUUGCAUCAAAAGGCACUUUUUUUGAAGAAGAAAUGGAAAUGCUACCUUAUCAAUUUCUGGCAAUAUUAUUUCUGUUUUUGGACUCAGCCGCGAAGAAUCCAUAUAAACCAAUUAGCAAACUCUUGCUUCGAUUUUAUGGCGUACCUUUCAAGUGUACAAAAAAGUUCUUUGUUAGUAAGGAAUCAAAUGCCGGAGAAUUCAUUUCUAAUAGAUACUCGAAUGAAAAAAUUCGAUACCAUAGUCCCCGCUACUCUCUUCAUAGGAUACUUAUCAAAAGCUCAAUUUUGUACUGGAUCAGGGCAUCCUAUUAGUAAACCCAUUUGGACAGAUUUAUCAGAUUGGGAUAUUCUUGAUCGAUUUGGUCGGAUAUGUAGAAAUCUUUUUCAUUAUCAUAGUGGAUCUUCAAAAAAAACGGACUUUGUACCGACUAAAGUAUAUACUUCGACUUUCAUGUGCUAGAACUUUAGCUCGUAAACAUAAAAGCACAGUACGAACUUUUAUGCAACGAUUGGGUUCGGCAUUUUUAGAAGAUUUUUUUAUGGAAGAAGAGCAAGUUUUUUCUUUGAUGUUCACCAAAACAACUCUUUUUUCUUUCUGUGGAUCACACACUGAGCGUAUUUGGUAUUUGGAUAUUAUACGUAUCAAUGACCUGGUCAACCCUCUUAAUUAAUCAUUAGACGAAAUUAAGAAACAGGAAAGGGUUGAUAAAUGAUCAAGAAAAAACUUUUCUAUUUUUCAUUCUGAAACGUUCUUUUUAUUAUAAUAAAGAGUAGGUGAAUCAACUUACUAAUUAAAAAAAUUAGUAGAACUUCCUCUUUGGAAUAGAAAUUGGCUAUUUCUACAUAGGGAAAGUCGUGUGCAAUGAAAAAUGCAAGCACGAUUUGGGGAGGGAUUUUUCUCUAUUGUAACUAGGAAGAAUUAUCUACUCCAUCCGACUAGUUCCGGGUUCGAGUCCCGGACAACCCAUAUAGAAAAGACCCAUCAAAGUUUUUCACUUUGACUCACUUCAUUUACAAAUACAAAAUUAUUGGUUUGGUUAAUUUAGUUAUAUGGAUAGCUAAUCUUUGGGCUGACUUGGUUGACAUUGGUAUAUAGUCUAUGUUAUACUGUUAAAUAACAAGCCUUCUAUUAUCUAUAUUCUAGUUAAUACGUGUGCUUGGGAGUCCUUGCAAUUUGAAUAAACCAAGAUCUUACCAUGACUGCAAUUUUAGAGAGACGCGAAAGUACAAGCCUGUGGGGUCGCUUCUGCAACUGGAUAACUAGCACUGAAAAUCGUCUUUACAUCGGAUGGUUCGGUGUUUUGAUGAUCCCUACCUUAUUGACCGCAACUUCUGUAUUUAUUAUCGCCUUCAUCGCUGCCCCUCCAGUAGAUAUUGAUGGUAUUCGUGAGCCUGUUUCUGGUUCUUUACUUUAUGGAAACAAUAUUAUCUCUGGUGCUAUUAUCCCUACUUCUGCGGCGAUCGGAUUGCACUUUUACCCAAUUUGGGAAGCUGCAUCUGUUGAUGAGUGGUUAUAUAAUGGUGGUCCUUAUGAGCUAAUUGUUCUACACUUCUUACUUGGUGUAGCUUGUUAUAUGGGUCGUGAGUGGGAACUUAGUUUCCGUCUGGGUAUGCGUCCUUGGAUUGCUGUUGCAUAUUCAGCUCCUGUUGCAGCUGCUACUGCUGUUUUCUUGAUUUACCCUAUUGGUCAAGGAAGCUUUUCUGAUGGUAUGCCUUUAGGAAUCUCUGGUACUUUCAACUUUAUGAUUGUAUUCCAGGUAGAGCACAACAUCCUUAUGCAUCCAUUCCACAUGUUAGGUGUAGCUGGUGUAUUCGGCGGUUCCCUAUUCAGUGCUAUGCAUGGUUCCUUGGUAACCUCUAGUUUGAUCAGGGAAACUACUGAAAAUGAAUCUGCUAAUGAGGGUUACAAAUUUGGUCAAGAGGAAGAAACUUAUAAUAUUGUGGCUGCUCAUGGUUAUUUUGGCUGACUAAUCUUCCAAUAUGCUAGUUUCAACAACUCUCGUUCUUUACAUUUCUUCUUGGCUGCUUGGCCUGUAGUAGGAAUCUGGUUCACUGCUUUAGGUAUUAGUACUAUGGCUUUCGACCUAAAUGGUUUCAAUUUCAACCAAUCUGUAGUUGAUAGUCAAGGUCGCGUUAUUAAUACUUGGGCUGAUAUCAUCAACCGUGCUAACCUUGGUAUGGAAGUAAUGCAUGAACGUAAUGCUCACAACUUCCCUCUAGACUUAGCUGCUGUUGAAGUUCCAUCUAUUAAUGGAUAAGGUUUUUCUGCUAACAUAUAAGAA